rnacentral:rRNA from 1 species
AUGCAUGACUUCUGGGGAACAUGCCUUCUAGCUUUGAAGAGGGAUCUGCUUUUCUUCAUAUGGACGGUCAUCAUUCCUCUCUUGAUUGGUUUGCUGGCUGACUUAUUACUGAUAUCACCCUUCGUUGGCACCGAUGAUGAUUUUCCAGCUCUAAACUUUUUCCGCACUUGGCUCCUGGGCCGGUUCUUUAAGCUCUUAUGGAUUAACCACGUCGAUGAAAGUUGGGAGGCGAAGCUUAAGCGGGCAAAUGAAGAUUUUGCUGCAGAGCUCAGACCAAUGUGGUGGUUCUUUCAAGAUGUGUGCAUUCCUGUCGCCAUGAAGCUACUCGUUGCUCUGGGUGUUCCUUAUGUUCUCGCCAAGGGCGUCUUCCCAAGAUUGGGCUACUCUGCCUCCCUGAACUCGACGGCCUACCGUUUCUCAUGGUUGGGCAGCCUUGGCAUUUGCGCCUUCUACUAUCUUGGCAAUGUGUUGUUCGUUCAGCUCCAUGAUUCUAUCAGGCAUGACCGCUAUGCCAUUGGGCGGAGGCUGGAAGACGUUGGAGGCAGAAGCUGA